rnacentral:rRNA from 1 species
GAUGAACGCUGGCGGCGUGCCUAACACAUGCAAGUCGAGCGGCAGCGAGGGGUGCUUGCACCCUGUCGGCGAGCGGCGGACGGCUGAGUAACGCGUGGGAACGUGCCCCAAAGUGAGGAAUAACUGCCCGAAAGGGUAGCUAAUACCGCAUAUUAUCUUCGGAUCAAAGGAUUUAUCCGCUUUGGGAGCGGCUCGCGUCGGAUUAGGUAGUUGGUGAGGUAAUGGCUCACCAAGCCGACGAUCCGUAGCUGGUCUGAGAGGAUUACCAGCCAGACUGGAACUGAGACACGGUCCAGACUCCUACGGGAGGCAGCAGUGAGGAAUCUUCCACAAUGGGCGAAAGCCUGAUGGAGCAACGCCGCGUGCAGGACGAAGGCCUUCGGGUUGUAAACUGCUUUUAUAAGUGAGGAAUAUGACGGUAACUUAUGAAUAAGGAUCGGCUAACUACGUG